CCUGAUGACCAUAGCGAGUCGGUACCACCCCUUCCCAUCCCGAACAGGACCGUGAAACGACUCCACGCCGAUGAUAGUGCGGAUU
rnacentral:rRNA from 1 species